AUUGAACGCUGGCGGCAGGCUUAACACAUGCAAGUCGAACGAGUGGCGGACGGGUGAGUAAUGCUUGGGAAUCUAGCUUAUGGAGGGGGAUAACUACGGGAAACUGUAGCUAAUACCGCGUAUCAUAGGAUGAGCCCAAGGGGGAUUAGGUAGGUGGUGAGGUAAAGGCUCACCAAGCCGACGAUCUCUAGCUGGUCUGAGCGGAUGACCGGCCACCCGGGGACGGAGACACGGCCCAGCCUCCUAUGUGAGGCAGCGUUGGGGAAUAGUGCGCAAUGGGGGCAACCUGACGCAGCGAUGCCGCGUGGAUGAAGAAGGCCUUCGGGUUGUAAAGUUCUUUCGGUAGCGAGGCGUUAACUACAGAAGAAGCACCGGCUAACUCCGUGCCAGCAGCCGCGGUAAUAC
rnacentral:rRNA from 1 species